rnacentral:rRNA from 1 species
GAGUUUGAUCGUGGCUCAGAAUAAACGCUGGCAGCGUGCCUAACACAUGCAAGUCGAGCGAGAAAGUUCCUUCGGGAACUAGUAAAGCGGCGAACGGUUGAGUAACACGUGAGAAUCUACCCUUCAGUGAGGAAUACCACCGAGAAAUCGGUGUUAAUACUGCAUACGUCCCUUCGGGGAGAAAGGUGGCUUUAAUGCUGCCGCUGAUGGAUGAGCUUGCGAGCUAUCAGUUAGUUGGUGAGGUAAUGGCUCACCAAGGCUAUGACGGCUAUCCGGCCUGAGAGGGUGUACGGACAGACUGGGACUUAGACACGGCCCAGACUCCUACGGGAGGCAGCAGUGGGGAAUAUUGCGCAAUGGGGCGAAAGCCUGACGCAGCGACGCCGCGUGAAGGAUGAAGGUCUUCGGAUUGUAAACUUCUGUUAAGUGGGAAGAAAGAUGCAUUUUUAAUAGAAAUGUGUGAUGACGGUACCGUAAGAAGAAGCACCGGCUAACUACGUGCCAGCCGCCGCA